AGCAUGUGGUUUAAUUCGAAGCAACGCGAAGAACCUACCAGGCCUUGACAUGCAGAGAACUUUCCAGAGAUGGAUUGGUGCCUUCGGGAACUCUGACACAGGUGCUGCAUGGCUGUCGUCAGCUCGUGUUGUGAGAUGUUGGGUUAAGUCCCGUAACGAGCGCAACCCUUGUCCUUAGUUACCAGCACGUUAUGGUGGGCACUCUAAGGAGACUGCCGGUGACAAACCGGAGGAAGGUGGGGAUGACGUCAAGUCAUCAUGGCCCUUACGGCCUGGGCUACACACGUGCUACAAUGGUCGGUACAAAGGGUUGCCAAGCCGCGAGGUGGAGCUAAUCCCAUAAAACCGAUCGUAGUCCGGAUCGCAGUCUGCAACUCGACUGCGUGAAGUCGGAAUCGCUAGUAAUCGUGAAUCAGAAUGUCACGGUGAAUACGUUCCCGGGCCUU
rnacentral:rRNA from 1 species